GAUGAAGAACGCAGUGAAAUGCGAUAAGUAAUGUGAAUUGCAGAAUUCAGUGAAUCAUCGAAUCUUUGAACGCACCUUGCGCCCUUUGGCUAUUCCGAAGGGCAUGCCUGUUUGAGUAUCAUGAACACCUCAACUCUCAUGGCUUGCUGUGAUGAGCUUGGAAUUUGGGGGUCUUGUUGGCUUGUGAGCCAGCUCCUCCUAAAUGAAUUAGCUUGCCGGUGUUUGGUGGCAUCACAGGUGUGAUAACUAUCUACUCUUGUGGUUUCCCAUCAGGUAACCUCCAGUGAUGGAGGUUCGCUGGGGCUCAUAAAUGUCUCUCCUCAGUGAGGACAGAUUUUGACUGUUUGAUCUCAAAUCAGGUAGGACUACCCGCUGAACUUAAGCAUAUCAAUAAGCGGAGGA
rnacentral:misc_RNA from 1 species